UGGGGAAUCUUGCACAAUGGGCGCAAGCCUGAUGCAGCCAUGCCGCGUGAGUGAAGAAGGCCUUAGGGUUGUAAAGCUCUUUCACCAGGGAAGAUAAUGACGGUACCUGGAGAAGAAGCCCCGGCUAACUCCGUGCCAGCAGCCGCGGUAAUACGGAGGGGGCGAGCGUUGUCCGGAAUUAUUGGGCGUAAAGAGCGUGUAGGCGGCCCGGUAAGUCCGCCGUGAAAACCUGGGGCUCAACCCUGGGCGUGCGGUGGAUACUGCUGGGCUAGAGGUUGGUAGAGGCGAGUGGAAUUCCCGGUGUAGCGGUGAAAUGCGCAGAGAUCGGGAGGAACACCAGUAGCGAAGGCGGCUCGCUGGGCCAUUCCUGACGCUGAGACGCGAAAGCGUGGGGAGCGAACAGGAUUAGAUACCCCCGUAGUCC
rnacentral:rRNA from 1 species